GUACUUAUUCCUACGCCUGUAACCCACAGCGGCAGCAAUGACAGCAACUCCGGCUAAAACAAAUGCUCCCCAAACAAAAGCAGAAUGGUUUAUAUCACUGUCCAUCUGCAAAAACCAGGCAGUUAUCACUUAUCAGAUGCUUGGUGUUUCUUGUUAAAAUCACGAAGAGGAUUAUAGUUCUAUUAUCGCCUAAGAAUCAUAUUAAACAGUUUCUACUCCCGCAAAUAAUAAUCUUCUCAUCAACACUAAUCAAACGACUGUCUAUAAUCCAUUCUCUAUACCAUUUCGAUAAUCUAAGAGGCAAGACAAUAUUCCUACUCAAUUCUAGAAUAAGUUUUUUGUAUCUGCCGUAUUUUUGCAUGUGCUCACAAGCAUAAUAACUUGUAUUGCUGAACUCACUAUCUAAAAAUAUGAAAAGGGAAUCUUACCUUGUUGAAAACAUCUAAGAAUGAACUGGACUCGGGCACCCUGUCUGCAACCAAAAUGUAGAAAAGCCCCAUGACUCCUGUGUGUUCGCGGGAGCUACUAUAGCUAGAUUCCACAAUCAGAGUUUCCCCAUCUGUUAUCCUGAGGGAGCCUGGUUUAGGAUAACAGGUCGACAUUCCUACAAUAUAUCCAGCCUCGUUUCCAGCUUCCAUCCCAUUUCCAUAAGCUGGAAUUGAAGAGCACAUAAGUUGUCC
rnacentral:lncRNA from 1 species